CCCUGCCUCCGCGUCACCUUGGUGGAGGUCAGACCGCGGGAGGCGGCGGGCCCGGGUGGCCGGGGACGAGCCGCCCCGCGCGAGACCUCAGUGACUGGGAGACCGAGAACGUGCACGGAACGCGAUGAGAUGGCCGGUUUUGCCCAUCGGAGAAGGAUUCGGGGGCGGGGGAGGGCGGGUGACUAUGAUGUCCAAAUCGUUCCGUCUGCUGGGAGAAGGGACGCCGUCAUCUUCUACUGAAAGCCGUGGAAAGCAUUAAGGAAAUUGCUGUAGCCUCCCAGUUACUCCGGUUCCUCCCACACUUGUUUAUAAUGAUUUCAUUUAGGCACACCAGGGUGGCUCAGCAGUUGAGCAUCUGCCUUCGGCUCAGGGCGUGAUCCUGGAGUCUCAGCAUCGGGUCCCACAUCGGGCUCCCUGUAGGAAGCCUGCUUCUCCCUCUGCCUGUGUGUCUCUCGCUGUCUCUCAUGAAUAAAUAAAUUAAUUAAAUAAAUAAAUAAAAAUGUCUAUGAUAUUCCAAUAGCUGUAAAAUGAUUUAGUACCAUAUUUCUUGCUAGUGAUGCUGAUCUAACCACUGCUGUAAACUCAUUAUGACUUCCAUGAAAGAAGGGCCCAUGCUUAUCAGAUUCCCUGCUUCACAGUACCUAGCAUAGUGCCUGGCAUUUAGUAGCCACCUCACAAAUCUUUGGUGAAUGACUGAAUUAUGAAAUGAAUGAAUAAACAUACACUUCUA